CUUAACAUGUUUUUACAGUGGUGCACAACAUCAGUGUAGUGCUCUAUAGCCAAUGAAUGAAAUUUUUUGCAAAGGCAUGUUUCGUUUGACAUUUCAUUCUAAGGCAGCAUAGGUAAAAAAGCCAAAGUAAUCAGAAAUAAAGGAGGGCACACAAAAUAUUACAAUGUUAACAUUUCAAAUAAUGGAAAUGUAGUCAAAUAGCUGUUUAACCAAGAUACUAAGGUUACCCACUGAAAAUUAACACAAGUUGGCAAGUUUAAGUUUGGUUUUCUUCAGGUUAAUGCAUUUUGUAUUGGUGGUCCGAAAAUUUUGCAAAGGACUGUAAAGGUCUUUUUGAGGGGUAUUAAAUUACAUCUUUUGGAAAAUGUACAGGAGUGUCUUUGUUGAGAGAAAUUUUGGUUUCAAAUCAUCUGGUACAAAUAUUUAGACUUAAAACUUUAAAUGAGAUCAACUCCCUUUUAUUUGCACUGAUAGCCAACUAAAUGUCCACAAAAUGUACACAGUCUGCCUAAUUAUCUCCAAAUUAUCGUUUUAUUAAUCUGCAACCAAUUUCAUGAAACGUGGUGUAACUUUGCACCAUGCAUAAGCUUUGUGCCACAAAUUUGUGUUGUACAUGUAGCUGUGUAGGUUUGAUGUUACGAAUAGUUGCUUAGCUGUCAAGUGUUUUCAUUAAAUUAAAUUUCUUGGAUGAGGACAAUAACAACUUUGAAGACGGCUUUUUCUUGGCAAGAUCACAGCAGUCAUCAAACAGUUGUUAGCUUACCUCCCACCAUGUUGAAGAAGUUUUUGUCAUUUCCCCAUCAGAACCAGACAGAAAAUCUUGUUCUCUCACAUCUAAACAAGUUUUUCAUUACUUUCUAAACAAGGUUGUAUGCGUCUCAUAUAAGCCUUCAGUUAAGCAGUUAUGAGUCUCAACUGAACACUGUAGGUUAGUCAAAUCGCUGAUUUUCACUCUGUACGAUGCAACUUACACAAGUUAAAAUGAUUGCAUAAGUUACGCCUCAAUUUGCAGCAUGACUUGUGUAGUGUUUAAAGUUUUGUGAAAUUGUUCUUAAUUUGUUGUGCAAUUAUACAAUAAAAUGUGGCAUCAGUAACAUUACGCCGUUGCAUAAAGUUUCGUGAAAUCGGCUGCAGAAGCUGCAAAUUUGUGUUUUAAAUGACCAAUGUCACUCUUAUAAGUUUGAAAAAUGACAUGUGGAGUUCCAUUUCAGUUUGUCUUUUGAAAAUAUGCCCUCUACAGUUUGAAAGUUCUUUUUCCACAGAAUUCAAAACACCAACUCUCAAUUUUUGAAAAUUAUGACUUUCAGUUCAUUUUGUGGUGACAGGUCACAGACAUGGCAUGCUGGUAGAUAGGAUGGUAUAUCAUGGAGAGGUCUGGAUUACAACACAUUGGUGUUAAUAAUUUUGAUAUCCAAACACAAGACCACAGUGAACAAGGUUCAAAGUGUGUACAUUUGCAAAUAGUGAUUACUUUUAAUGGCUCAAAGCAAACCUUCUUGAAUUUUCUCAACUCAGGUAUUCACAACAAAGACGAGCUCAUUUGACUUGAUAUUUACCCAUUAUUUGGUGUCCAAAAUGCCUUUUGGAGGCUCUAUUAGCGUUUUGUAUGUGUUUCUGAUCCUACCUACAUGUAUAUGUAGAAAAGAGCUUGUAAAAAUAGUGAAGUAUAGUGUUCUGUCUGUUUUUUAAUUAUUGUACUGAUAUUUUUUAAUGUAAAGACAGGUUACCCUUUGAUUUAACUGGUCAUGUGAUGUACUUCUAUUAGUAUUGUUGUGCAGUACAUUUGCCGUAACAUACAUUUAUAUGUGGACCUUGCUGUACUCAGAGGCAUGAGGACCCUUGUAAAUGCCUUGCGAUGUAAUAUACUUGUGGUGAUAUGAGGCUGUGGAUACAUGUAUAUGAUGAAUGUUACUCCUUUCUGUGUACCUUGAUGUACUUGUUCACGUGUCUUCACAUUGUUUGGGUACAUUCAACAGAACAGUUUUGGGAACAGUGAGUGAAACUUACAAGUUCAGGCUUUGACAAGCAAUUUUAGUUAUCUCUUGGUUAUGUUGUCAAAGUACAUGCGCAUUUAUCGUAACUUGAGAAACUGUACGUAUGUGAAUUAGUGAGACUGGAGACAUGCAUGUUCAUGUACAGCAUUAACAAAGGGCACUCUGUCUUGAAUGAAAAUUGGCAUGCUCCAGUAUAGCCACUUAAAGCUAUGAAAGCGAUCAUGUAAGCAUGAGCACAUUACAUUAGAACAGUGUCAAUAAGAAAGAAUUCCUCAUUUUGAGGCAAUACUCAGAUUCAUUUAAAAAAUCCUCAGAAACCAUUGUAACUCUGGAAAAUAUGAAUAAGGAAAGGAGUAAGGUUAGUUACACCGUGUGCAUGUACAUGCACGUGUAUAAAGGGCUGUAAUGUGUAUUUCUUAUGUGUCAGACAUUGGUUUUGUGUUUAAGUUCAUGUUAAUGGCUUUAAACAAUUCUGACAAAUUUGUCAUGAAAGUACAUGUUUUGUACAUAUGUACGAAAAGCCUGUGACACACCUGUGAAAUAGAUGUAUGUCCGCAUCCACACAGUUAAGGUUUGCUAAAAAACAUUUUUGGACUGAUACUCCCUAUGAACAAUUACAGCCAUCAGCUUCUUUAGACUUUAAAUCUUGUGGAUGGUGUUACUGCUUGCAGGACUACAUCCUGGAUGUAGAACAAUGAAAUGCACACAAAGUAAAGCAUACCAGUGUAUUAACCCAAUGAAUUCUGUGAACAGGGUGUCUGCUAUCUGAUGUUAAGACUUGAGAAGAUCUGGAUUAUGCUUAAUUACAUAUACAAAUGCAGUUAAGGGAAUGAAAUGGUGAAAUCCACUGUUAUUAACUGAGAAUCCAUGCACCUGGAAAAAUUUGUACACAAGGGAACAGUGAUCAAGUGUCAUAGAGUUUAUUUGUACACACCAGUUCUUGUGGAUGCUAUUGUAUGUACAAGCUUGAAAAGUUGUUGGCACAUGAUUGUACAUGUAUUCAAAUAUGAUCAUUGAUACUUGUGGACUGACUUCCCUUCUUUUUCGUAUAUUUUUAUUAGUAAUGAAAUGGAAAUUUGAAUAAAAAAGAAGCAAAACAAAGCUGAAAAAUUCUUAAAUGAUAAUAGAUGAGCUGCAAUCAUGUGACACCUCCAUUAAGGGUACGUAUGCAUGGAUUAUUAAUUUUGGGCUCAAAAAUGAGGCAGUAUUUUAAUAGAUUUUUUUUUAUAUACGUCAUGUAUCUAUCUUGGAAAGAGCAUUGUCACCGGUUGAUCACUCUGCAGUGUUUACAAGGUAAUAAAAUGUUAGCUUUGUACAUGUUUGAUCAAUGAGCCAUAAUUGUAGGAUUAUGAUCAUACACAUCUUUCUUCUCCUGAGAAACUUGAUAAAUCAGAUGUUUCUGGUUGUCAGACAAGUACAAAUUAGAUUUAAAGGUUUUGCGAUACUUCGUACAUGUAUAUAUAUACAUGUAUAUGUUUGAGGCCAUGAUGAAAUUAUUGUAGUAAACAGGUACAUGAUAAACCAUGCAAUUACAGGAUGCUCCAUUUUGAUGGCUACUGCUCCCACAAUUUUCUGAGCUGCAUUGUUAGCAUAACAGCUACAUGCGUUGAGGAUUGGACCCAGAGUUAAAUUCAUUACAUGCUGGCCUUGCUCUGGCCAAGAAGCUGUUGUGUUUUUUCUUGCAUUAUUGGGUUUAACUUUAUUGUAAUUUAUUUUAACUUAAAUGUUUUUGAAAAUAUACGAUGCCAACAGUUUGGCUACUGUCUACCAUUAGUUCUCGCAGCACAGGUCAUUCAAUGUCAAGUCAAAAAUCAGGCAGUUGACAUGCACUGGGAUAAAAGCAUUCAUAUGGAAAUGUUCGUGUUCUGUAACAGGGCUCUUGAUGGACUUGACUACAGUAGCAAAUGCCAAUCUUGUUAUACAGUUAGCGGAAUUAUACAAAAAUGAUGUUCAUGUAUGUUUGCCUAAAGAUAUUGUAGUGUUUGCUAAUCAAGCAUUACAUGCUGAAUAUCUUAUGUAUUUUGAGUAAGGUCUGGUAACCUUUUAAAGGCAGAACAAAGGAAUGUCUGCUACCAAAAUGUUACUAUUUUCUUUGUUGUAAUAGGUUGUGUUCAGUAUGCAAAUGAAUUGGUGUAUGUUGUAUAAUUCAUGUAUUUAGGGAUGUGAAUUAAAACAGCCUGUAUUGAUGGUAAGUUAUUUUUUUAAAAAUCAGAGCUUUUGUGAAAUGUAAAAUACAGGAGCCUAUGAAGUCCGAAACCUAUCAGGCUAUUUAUUCACUGAUGUAAACAUACUAUGACUUGAAAUAAAGUAGCUUUGUUAUUUAGAAUGGCACAUUAAAAUUACAUUUACUGUUACAUUUAUUCAUUGCAUUUGACAUCUCGCAAAUUAACCUUUGCAGAAAUAACUCACGCAAUUACUGAGUCGUGUUUCAAAGAGGGCCACAGCUCAAAUGCAUACUUGUAUAUUGUCAUAAUUGUGAUAAUUACAGGCAUGUACAUAUAGGAACCGGGGGUACAAAUAGCUCCCCCUCUUUCCCCCCCCCCCAAAAUAGUGGGGGGGCGAGCCCCCCCCCAAAAAAGUUGUGUAAUUGGCAUUCUCAGGGUGGGAGUAUUUGUAGCAGUGUGUGAUAAUUUUACUCAGAUCACAUUUAAAAAAUGGAAAUUUUAGAUUUUAUUUUUCUUCCCUCCACCCCCCAGUAGAAUCAUCUUCCUAUGUACCUGGUGAUAAAUGGUGCAGGCCAGCCUGGUGUGAAACCAACUCAGUCCCAAGUCAAUUUGUCUCUGUGGAAAAAUGUACAUAAACAGAUGCUGGGACCAGGAUGCACUGUGACAUGAUUAGCAUGACUUCCACCAUUGACAGACUGAAAAAGUAAGGAUAUAUCAACAGCAGUGUUGUAUUUGAAUCCAUCACGAGCGCCUGUAAUUCCAUCACAAGUUAUUAAAAUGAGUUGUGACAAAAGCAUUCUUUUGUCAUUGUUCAGCCUGUUACUUGGACUGGCCUUGCGAAAGGACUUGUGAAGGACUUAUGAAAGGACUUGUGACGGACUCAAAUGCAACACUGAUCGGCAGCCCUCUUCUCUUUGACGAAUGGAGCUUGAUAAAGGGUGCACUUUGGUUUGGAUGUACAGAAUCCAAAUGGUACUACUAUAGCAAUUGCUGAUGAGUGUUGAUUUUUUGUAGGUGAGUGUUAUGCAGUGCUACAAAAUCCAUAAAAUGUGUGGCUGUCAAACUUGAAGAUUUGUCUGGGAGGUUAUAUUGUUAAGAAGUUAAUUUUGCAUUCAUCUUCACCUCUGGCCUAACCGCCUUGCCUGGCAUGCUUUGGAUACGAUAUUACUAGGCAAGUAACAGUGGGUGAGGGAAGUAUCGGUGGUCAAGCCCAACACAAGAACCACACUGGACAGUUUAUAGUACUAUGGCAGAAUUACCAAAUCCCCCUCCCUCACAAUCACUGUUCCCCCAUUGGUCGCUCAGCAACUGUGGUAUUCCUUCAGGAAAAACCUACACCUAAUGCACAGGGCCAACCAGACAGUUCCCUCAUUAACCUCUGCACGGACAGCUAUGGCAAACCUCGGGCAGGACAUGAGCAACUUUGACCAGUAAUUUUGUAGCCUCUUUUAUCUACAAUUCAACCAUGCCAGGCAGAACUAAGUACUCUCAAGUGACUACAGAAUUUCAAUGGGAUAGCCUCCCUAUGCACCUCCUGGUUUUAGAUCUUCCUUUUUGUUGGUAGGCCCCAGGAUUCAAGUACUCUUCAUCAGGGUAAACAAACUGUUACGGAACAGAACUAAUCCCUAGCUUUCUCCCUGGUAUCCUAUCAUAGACCUACCACUGAUCUCCAUUAUAAAGACUGGAUGGGACAUGCAUGCAUGUUGGUGAAACUUUAAAACUUUGAAAUGUGGUCACACGCUGUGCAGGGGAAGUUAGUCUGGCUGAGGAAUCUGUUGUUCUAAUUUCUCUUUUUUGAUGAAAAAUGAAAGUAGGUAAAGAACCUAAGACCCAUAAACCAAGUAUGUAGCGUAGCAGGAGUUUUGAUUGGUAGAUUGUUGCAAUACAACUGGUUGUCCAAACAAAAUGUUAAUUUAAGCCCAUUUUUUAAUAAUUGGUUUCCAGUCGAAUAUCAUAACUUAAGUCUUUAUAUAAGUAGGAUCUUUUUAUUGCAAACUAUUCAGUUUAUUGAUAAACUUUUUAUUUCAUUGAAUUAACUUGUGUUAAUUAUUUUUAUGUGCAGAAUUCUAAGACAUGAAUACUUGAGAACUAAAUGAUGGGUACAACCUCGGCAAAGACAAAUGAUUAGUGUAAGCCACGAUGCCAUAGUUGUUCAGAACAUUUGUGUGUCCAGAAGGUUGGAGUAUAUUGCAAAUAUUUAUUUAUUUGCUGUCUUAUUUAUACAGGGUGGUCUCAUCAGUUAUAAAACUGCUUUCUAUGAAGGCCCCGUUUCAAUUCACACGAAUUCAAAUCAUGUAAAGAGUUAUUAAAAGCUUAAAUUGAAAGUAUCAAAGCAGGGAUACAGCCAAGUCUGUAAAACUAAAUGUGCAAAAUAAUAGGUCAUCAUAGAAGCGGAAACAAAUCCAAUGAAAAUUCCCAAAUAAGAGUUGUGAUCAGAAAAGUAACAUUUCAAAAACCAAUUUAUUAAUCAGAAACUCGCCAGAGUCACUCAGAAAGAAGUGUAAAACCUCAUCAAAUGGAAGUGAAAUACAUCUAUAUACAAGUACAUGUAUUUGAUAUUGAAGCAUAACAAAGACUUAAAGUAAGCGAUGGGGAAAUAAAACAAGAUGUUAUAAAAGGUAAAACGUGAAAGACUUCUUAGCGAACUGCCGCUAAGAAUGGUUAAAAUUAAAACUUGGAAAAGCAAGUGGUAUUAAAAUUGUAUUGAAGCAUAAAAUAUACAGCAAAACUGGAAAGGGUAAGUACAUUAUUAGAAUUGGCAGGUUAGUAAAAUAGGGUCUGUUAUAUCGGUCAAUCUGUUAUUUAAAUUUGUUUAAUACUAUAGUUAUUCUUGCCCAUUCUUUAAAACCAACUUCACACAGAAUUUGUUCAUGAGUAAUUGUCCAUUGUUUACAAUUGUUUAUACGUAUACAUGAUGUCCUCAAUUUUGCUCGCACUUGGGACUUUUGCGUUGUUUGGUAUAUUAUGUCCGUGCUAUUUUACAUGUAAGUUUUUAAGUUAAAUGGUAUUCGCUCUGUUUUUAUUCUCUUAAGAAUCAGCUAUUGUACCAGUAUAUUGUCAGCUCUGGAAAUAUGCAUUUUCUUAAACAUUAAUUAGUCGGCGGAGAACAAAAUGAAAUAAUUAGAUUUUCUCUAAUAUAUCAAAUAAAAGGAGUCUUAUUUUGUAGAGCUGCAGUCUUUAAUGAAAUGUGUGGAAUGAAGAGAAGAAAACCUUCAUACCCAGUACAAUGUGCCUUUUGUAUUACAUGUCAGGAUGUUACCAAAUGAAUUGUUGGCUUUUUCGCAUUUUGCAAAAAAUGCACUCUUUUUGGCAAGAUUUCUAGCCGUUUCGGUUUCCGGCCAAACAGCCUUAGCGAAAAAGGCAUUCUUUUUGUUGGCUUUUAUGCAGUUCUGCAAAAAAGGUAUUCUAAAGGUAUUCUUGUCUCGAUAUUUUUUGGCUUUUCCGCAACUUGCAAACAAGCAUUUUAUUUUUGUUCAGAUUGUUUUUUUUUUUUUUGCUUUUUCUCAAGUUGCAAAAAAGGCAUUCAUGUUGGUUUUUAAUUCUUCUUCCACGCCAAAUCCCCUUUGUUUUGUACACGUUUCUUCCACCAUCAACUUUAAUCCCCUAGCAACUGUGGAUAUUCCUCAAACUUUUUCCAAUGAAGGACCCUUGAACAAGGAAUUCUCUAACGCAAUGGUGUUGUGUUGACGUCUUAAACGAGUUGAUUUUUUGUAUUUAUUUAAGCCCAUUGACUUUGUACAUGUUUUCAAGGCAACAUUUUGAUAAUGUAGAGAUCUUCAAUCGUCCUGAAAGUUACAGCCAGCAAAGACCAUAAAGCAAAGAUAAUACUAAAACAAUUAUGUCAUGAUAAUUUUGAAUAUUUAAAAGUUACGUCAAUGUUGGAAAAAUCUAUAUAAAAUGGACCGUUUCCUCCCGUUAAAUUCAGUUUGCAGCAAAUGGCAGCCUUUCAGUAGAUCACCCAACAUUCUUGUCAUAACCUGGAUAUUGUUUUCUUAAGGAGAUCAACCAUUUACCUUCUUCCUCCAAUGUGUGGAAAAGCUGGACCUACCGGGUUACCUGCACUCCUGGAAAUUCCAGAGGAUCAGGUGUGUCUAUUCUCACGAAACCUAAUUAUUCAGUCCAGAAUCAUGAUGUUAUUCUUGAAAGUUAUUUACUUUAUGUUCAAGUUAUUCAUGAUUGUAAUACCUAUCAUGUAUAUGAUGUAUACGUUUCAUAGGGUGAUAAUGAUGCUCAACGACUCUUUGAAGCUCUAGAAUUGUUUCAUUAUGGGCUGUCCCACAUGGAAAGACGAUCGGGAGACUAAUCAGAAACCCUCAGGAAGACAUGAACUAGCUCACUUGUGCAGGUGAGAGGUCAACAUAUAAUGUAUGCACAUACUGCUUUCAACACAUCCUCCCCUUUUUGAAGAGUUUGGGGCAUCAUAAAUUAUAUCACUGAAGUGAGCUUUAAACAAACUCUGAAAGAUUGUAAACAGUUAAAUGUUGAAUAUCGACUUCAACACUUCUCAACGUUUGGAUACAAAGUAUUUAAACAUCUCAACUUUUGAAUGUCAACAAUUAAGAAAUUGUAAUGUGAACACUGAGUUUUGUUUUGAGGAUGUGGACUGGAUGGGACAAUGGUGAUUAGUAUUUGAUGUAUUCAAUUCUUGUUGGUGGUUUGAUCACUCUUCCUGAUCUAGUGUGUCAUUCUUGCAGGAUUGGGCUGUUUGGGCUGUUUGUGUGUAGCUUUUUUAUUUGUAGUGCUCCGUUGCUCUUCUGUUUUUCCGUUUGCCUUUCUGACGUUUGCUCGUACGUGUGGGUGUGACAGCUGUUCUCGGGUAGACUAAAGUGAUGUUGGGUUUGUGCAUUUUUCCUAGGUAGACCUUCCUUCUGGGAUCACUUGGGGUGGUUCUGAUUUCUUGAGGUCGAUUCGGUUUCGUCGAAGUAGAAGGCUGUUUUCUGUUUCGACUUCAUAUGAUCUCUGAUCCAGUCGUUUCUUGCCUUUUGCCAUUUCGUUUCUCCUUGUCUGUAUGGUUUGAGUCUCGCAACAUUGCCUUCUUCGAGUUCUGGGAGAUCUUUGGCAUGCUUAUUGUGCUUAUUGCGCUCUUUCUUUUUGCAGAAAUUCUGAUCCUCUUUGCUUCAACAGGUUGCUGAUUGUUGGUAGAGUCGUUCAUGUUCUUCUGCCAUGUAGCCGUUGUGCAUGGCUGGAGCUGAUCCCUUGGGAGGGAGUGUUUUCUCGUGUCCAGUAAGGUAAAGUAGACAUCUGUCUUUGAGUGGGAUGACUUCUUUAUCAGUCACGUUGCUGCCUUCACAGCUGACUCUGCCUUUCUAUUGGCUUGGUAUGUCUUGGGGAGCAGGUGUAGUGAUCGAAUCCCCAUUUUUUAGAGAAGUUUGCAAACUCUGGCGAACUGUAUAGUGGUUCGUUAUCACUCACAACAGUGUUUGGGAUCCCAUAUCUGGCAAAGUGGCUUUUCAGUUUGGUUCUGAUGGUCUUGCUGUUGAGGUCAUAUAGACGGUCUACUUCGGUUGUCUCUGAAGUUGAAGAAGGGGUGUGUUGUUUCUGGGACGUCAGAUUUGUGUUCUGGCCAACUUUCUGGAUGAUUAUCUUGACCAUUGCAGCACUUCAUCUUCCCUGGUAGGCCUCUGGAGGCAUCAGAUUCUGUCCUCAUUCAUGCUGAGGGAGUCAAUACGAGGUUGACUUCUCCAAAUUCCGAUGAUCCGGUGAUGUUUGGAAGAUAUGCCCUGGAUAGCAUAUCCACCAAAUACAUGUCUCGUCCCUUUACCCAUUUGAUAUCCACAUCAUAGUGCAACAUUCUCAUCAACAUGCCUUUAGGGCAUCUUGGUGCUCGGUGGAGGGGUUUCUUGACUAUGGCCUCCAAUGGUUUAUGGUCAGUCCGUUCUAUGACUCUGUCCAAAGGUGGAUUGAUGGAAGCGUUCUAAUGCAAAGACUACUGCUAAGGCUUCGUUUUCAAUUUGGGCAUACUGCUGUUCCGUAGGUGCAGGGUUCGACUGGCAUAUGACAGUGGUUGACCUUCCUCUCGUCUCUCCUUCACUCUCGUCGAGUGUCGCUCCUAGACCUGCUUUGCUGGCAUCACACUGUAUGGUGAGAGGCUUAUCAGGGCCACCAUAGUAUGCACCAUAAUGGGUCCCAUAUGCAGCCGGGCCGCGCGCCCGAUCAACGUGAUAAAGGCUUUAUCAAAGGCCGCAGAGCUACGUAUCGUGCGAAGCCAAAGAUAGAGAUUGAUUCGUCAAAGUAUACAUGUACAUCAGUACCAUAGUCAGCCAAACUGGAGUCCUGCGCAGAAAUUAGUUGAGAUAAAUUUGACAAAACACAUGGAGCAGCCUACUACAAGUGAACUCAGUGCAGAUGCUUCUGAGAGUGGAAGCCAUAUCCAACCUUCAUGGACAUGUACUCUUGGAAAAUAUUCCAAUGAGCUAAUUUUCAGUGACAGCAAGUCAGGACUCCAAACUGAUUCAUAUCAACCAUUUUGUGAGAGAAUGAUUCAGCACACUCAAGAAUUGAGGUCUAUCUCCCAGAAUUGUAUAUCCCCAGCGCCCAUGGAACAGAAUGCUGUGACAAGACGUGCUGAUAGUGAUCUUCAGAGAAUGAGAAAUGUAGAAGUCCACCAACAUAGUGAAGUUUGUGUUCCUACAAGUGUUGUUCCAAUUCUACCAGUUGAACCAACUUUGUCAUUACCAGAAGUCUCCAUUAACUAUCAAGACUCAACAAUCAGUUCUCAUGCUAAAUCAUGUGACUUCAGUACCCUAAGGAAAUCACGACUUAAGUGUAGCAAAAGAAAUAAUGGAAGGAACUUGAAAUCAAGGGAGCAGUUUCAUGGCAAGAGGAGCCAGCAUUUCACUGAGGAAGACAGGGCAAUCUUUGGUAGAGAAGGUGCAUCAGUCUCCACCAAUGGCUAUGCCGGGUCACGAAAGGUGGCAGCCUCCUCUGAAACCCCAGUCUAGAUGCCCUCACAGCCUUCCAUGUGUUACUUGCCCCCAAGCAAGCAAUUUAUUAGUGAGGAAAAAAUGGCUGCCAGGAUGAGCCACCUGAGUAUCACAAAUGAAAACACUAUGGCUUCCCUACAAGAAAGAUGGUUGCAAGCCAAGUUAAAAACUAAGAGACAACUGGAAGAAAUUGAAAGAAGAUUGUCAGAUUCUGAGUCGGAUAAUGAUGAUGAUUCUAACAGUGAUACAAGAGAUGGCAAGCCUCGUCAGAUUCAAGUCAGUCCAGAACUCAAGAUGGCCAUGGAAAAACAAGAACCACUCUUACCGGACUCUGUUGUCAAGUCUAUAGCUAAUGUCUGCACUGAACUUGUCUUAUGGAAACCACCCUCGUCAUAUAUUAGUGGUACCUUCAACCUAUCACCCAAUCUGGACUUGGUUUCCACGGAUAAAUCUGAUGUGCCUUCUAGUAACAAUAUGAAACCGUCUGGCAGUGAAGCGUCUGGUCUACCCUCAGCAAGUAUUCCAAAGAAACAAUCAGACGACACUUCUCAUAAAUGCAGUUUUACAGACAUAGUUUAUGGGGAAAUUUCUCCAAGUUGGACAAGUGUACCUGAUGAGUUCUUUGAUGGUGUGGAUGAUAACAUGGAAUUUUAGGACUUGCAAAGUGCAAUGAGUGGGUCCAUUUGCUGGCUUAUAUCAGGACAAGUAUUGUACAUUCAUCACAAAAAGAGACCGUGUCUCCUGUAUGAACUUUGUGAUAGGAGAUGAGGGAGCCUUUGAAUUGACCUCAACCAGUGGUGUUGGGCAGUAUGUUAGCUUAGUCAAAACCACUCUAGUCAAAGAAGCCUGGAGGAGGUUGUAGUGUGUCUGUCUGUCCAUCUGGAUGUUUCUUAAUUAGUAAUAUUUUUGGAAUGACAUAUUGUUCCCAACCUCACUAAGGCACAGCUAUUGUCGUUGAAAUAUUCUUUUUUGCAACCAUGUUUUCAUUUUGUGCGCCACUUUGAGGGUUUGGCCAGUUCAGAUUGUCAACAUUAUGACAUUGUCAUGGUUGAUUUUGGAGCAAUGUUUAUGGUACCUGUAACCAAACUCAAUCUUCAUUUCAAUGUCAUGAAUAUUUAAUUGCAUACAUAUAGCACUGAGUGUAUUCGUAUUUUGGCGACACAAGGGUUUCGGUCUUUUCCAUCGUUGAAUCGUGCUCGAGAGACAUCCCUCUGAAAACAAGCUACAUGUAGCUUUCUCACCUGCAAAUAUUAUAUUUGGGUAGUUGAUAGCGAAGCCAGCUUUGUAUCACACUUAUCUUUAUUGCAUCAGUGUACAGGUGUUUUUGUUAUGUAAGUUGUUUAUAGUAUUCCUUGGUCUUAAGAGGAGAUCAUUGUCGAGUCAUAGAAUAAACCAUGAUGAUCCAAGCUCAUACAUGUCAUCUCCAGUUUAUCCCUUACUGUAGAGUACACACUCUGAAACCAGUGGAGGCUCAGGCCCCUGUCCCCCUUGGGUUCACUGCUACCUGGUGUUUCCCCACGUUAGUAUGAUUCUUUGCAACAAAACAAAACAAGGUAGUUUUGAAAUUCUUUUCGCAGUACCUUUUAUUAUCUAAGUACAUGUAGAUGUAUGGGUACAGGCUGUUUGGAACAUUUAGUGAUGUCAUGAUGAUGCCAUCAAGUGUGUGUAUAUGCCUUCCUCAUAAUAUGUCUGAAGUAUCAUCGUGGUGACAUUUUCUUUAAAUUAAUUUUUCAUGGACAUUUUGCUGGGGUUUUCUUAGUGCUUCUAAUCACAUUUUUUUGGGCACUAUUCCAAGUCAAAUCAACUUGAAACGUCUAAGAUAUAAAGUCACAGGUGAAGACAGGUGUUCCUGACAAGAAUGGUAUGAUGAUGUCAUCAGGUAUCACAUGGUUCUUCCCUAAAGAUGCAUAUUUAUAUGUGUUAUUAAGAAAGGUCUUAAACUUUGAGUGAGUGAAAAACAAUAGCUUUAAAUAAUAAAGCUCAAACAGUGAGCCCAUCUGAGGCAAAGUGUUGGACAAUGCUCUCGGUGUAAAUCUACUGCAUGUUGCAUUAAGUUAUGCAGGGAUGAGUCAAAGAAAAAUUGGUUUUGUUUCAUGAUUUAACUUCCAGUGCGAUCACCCAAAAUGUGAAACAUAAAAGAAAAUGAAUACUAAUUGAACAAAAUGAGAUGAUCAAACAUUAUUUGGACACCAUUGAACUCUGUUUUAGACACUUACACAGAUGAUGAGCGCAAUCCAGACUAGGCAUGACGGGUGCACUUUUACAUUAACUGGUAACACCAGUCACUAUGAAGCAGCUGCUCAGAAAUAAUUUCUGAACAGAAUGGCUCUGUCCAUACGAAACAAGUUUAAACAACCUCCAUUAAAUAAUGCCUCCACUUAGAUAUCUUCACUCUGAUUGAUUAAAAAAAACAAUCCUCAUUUUUGGGGGGGGGGAUGGCCGCCUUUGCCCCCCCAUCUGCCCUUGUCUCUGAUGGGUAUUACAUGAUGCACUCAAGUCAAGAGGGAAACCGUUCAUCUUGAAAUUCUCCCAAUAGUGAAUUCUGGGAUGAUGACAUCAUUGUUGAACUUCAGAAACUGGUUCCUGUCCAUGGAAGCAUGGCACGAUUUAUGUGAUGACAUCUUCAACCCUUGUAUAGUGAUGGCAUGUUACUCAAAAUUAUAAUUUGGUCGGCAGUACAAACAUUCUUCCACUUUUAAGUGAUAUAGUCGCAUAUCACCACACUUCCAGUACCCCAGGAAGUAAAGAGCAUGCUUCUGUGUGUCUCGAAAUGACAAAUUUUGCUCAAAGUUAGAUCUACGUUCCAGAUUACAAUAUAUGAAUGUGUCAUUGCCUGCAAUCCAAAAGUUGUAUAUUUCUUUCCAGUUGCACUAUAAAUUGCUCGUAAUUUGCUCUAUGAUGACAUCAUAAUGACAUCACAAAUUAUGCACAUUCAAGUACAAAGAUUUAUGUGCAUUCUAGGUUUCACGUUUAUCCCACAAACGAUGAUUAGGAAUGUGUUGGCUGGUGUUCAAAUCGAUGCAAUUUUUUGCAAUAAAAUUUUAACUGUGACCUUGCAUUAACCUUUUUUACUCUUACCCAAAACAAGUUUUUUCUAUAACAUCUCUGCCUAUACACUUAUUUUCUAUUAAGCGUGAUCAGACAUGUAGUGGAGUAGAUAUUGGUAUGUGAGGAGUGUACUAUUUGGUUGUGUCAUGAAACAUAAAUGUAGCAACAUGAUGAUGUUUUGCUUAUAACCCAUCCCUUUAA